ACAUUCAUUUGCAAGGGCAUUUAAUUUAAUUUAUUAUUUUAUUUAUUUUUGUUCUUUUAAAGUUUUGGCACUGAGAGUGUUCAUGGCUCUCUUCCUGUUUCCCCCGUCAACAACCAGUGAUGGAGCAUGGAAUUGAAUGAGUUCCUUGGUCCUGACUGAUGAAUCUGAGAGCCUGAUGAAUCUGAUAUUGCAUGGGACACAUCUCACAUGCCACCUCAGAGUCUCUUGUCAUUUCUUCCCUCUCUUGGGAUACAUCAUUCUUCUGCUUGAAGCAACCAGCCACAUGUCUCGAUAAGAAGUCAAGACUUGAUAAAUAUGAUAAAACGUUAUGGAGAUGGGUGAUGAAACCCAGAAAGUCCACUGGGAGGGUAGCUUCAGGACAAGGAUACAGAAGAAACCAUAAAGACUGAAAAUACACCGGUUUAAUGCAUGGAUCGGCACAUUAUAGCCCACAAACUGGCUGACUGUUUUUAGACACCGUCACAGACAUGCCAGGAAGCAACAUUUUACCAGCUAUCUGGACAUCCCUUAGCCCAGUCAAGUUGACAGAAAACUAACUGGCAUAGGACCCCUUCUAUCAUCUUCUAUCAAGUCAAGCAAUUAAGCUGGACACCAGAAUUGGAGCACAUGGAAGUAAUUUUGCCAAGUUCUUCUGGUGGUUUUGAGAAGUUUCAAGCCACCAAAACUUUGUUAGAUAUGAUGCCAUAAAUUAAUAAAAUCUAUCACGGUCGAUUUCAUGAA